UACGGAAGGGGGCUAGCGUUGCUCGGAAUCACUGGGCGUAAGCGCACGUAGGCGGAUUGUUAAGUCAGGGGUGAAUCCGUGGAGCUCAACUCCAGAACUGCUUUGAUACUGGCGAUCUCGAGUCCGGGAGAGGUGAGUGGAACUGACGAGUGUAGAGGUGAAAUUCGUAGAUAUUCGCAAGAACACCAGUGGCGAAGGCGG
rnacentral:rRNA from 1 species